GGGGGUCAAAGUGGAGUUGCUGCAAAUUCAGGGGUUUGUUGUGGUGGGAAGAGAAAGAACGAAAAGCCCUAUAAAGGGAUUCGUAUGAGGAAGUGGGGAAAAUGGGUUGCAGAAAUUAGAGAACCCAACAAGCGUUCGAGGAUUUGGUUGGGUUCGUAUUCAACGCCGGUGGCUGCGGCUCGGGCUUAUGAUACGGCGGUCUAUUAUCUAAGAGGCCCUUCGGCCCGAUUGAAUUUUCCCGAGUUGUUAGUUGGUGAUGGUGGGCUUAAUGAUUUGUCUGCUGCUUCGAUUCGUAAAAAAGCCAUAGAAGUUGGUGCUCAAGUAGAUGCUGUACAGAACUCGCUUGCAACCCAUCAUAACCAUACAGAGGAAAAGGUGCACUCUGAGACGGCAAGCCCCUCAGAAUUGAAGCCUUGUUGGUUUCAAGAGAAGCCCGAUUUAAACUUGAAGCCCGAGCCCGAAGAUCCAGAAGUGGAUUACUGGUAAUAUUUAGUUAAUAUCGAUAUUACCAAUAACAGUAUCUGUACUAGUGUAAUUUUUAAUUAUUUUUUUGGCUUUUUGUUGGUUGGGGGAAGAGGAAGUGCUUUGGUAAGAAUACGAGCGCCGCUCCAGGUUGUGUAGCUUGGUAGCCUAGGAUUGUUAUAUUCUUAAAAAGAAAAAACUAUCACCUCUUUCUUUAAUUUUACUUUAUUUUUAAGAACAAAUUAUCAGCUGAACAGUUUUGAUGUUGUAAGAUGUAAAGGGGAUUUGUGUUAU
rnacentral:misc_RNA from 1 species